AAAACCGCCACUGUAAAGAGAAUGAAAGUUGUGCUCACGUGAUUGUUGGAUGAGUAAGGAGACCCUGCUGCUUGAGUUUAAACAUUAGAGACGCCUACAUAAGCACAGCAAAAAUAGAGAUGCUAGUACAAGUUUCUUGGCUGACUGAUGCACUAUGAGGGUAGCCAAUUGGAUUAGGCUACUAUCAUUGAUGAGGGGUUUGCUACUGUGGGGCUGGGGUGGUCCCGAUGGCUACUAUUGAUGUGUUAGCCCUAGCCUCAAGAGAUGGUUCUUCUAGAACAUGUAAGUACUCAUUUACAAUGAGCAUUUUAUUAAUUUGUAUCAAGUGAGAUAGUGGCUGGAUACAUUUAGUUAAGUCUAGGCAAGCAUUUUCUAGAUUUGUUUUUUCCCUCCUUUUAAAAGUCUUUAUGUGUGUGUGUGUGUGUGCGCGUGUGCAUGUUCAUGUGUUGGUUCUGGACUUCACCUUGUUUGAGACACACUGAGCCACAGACUUCUGGGGCCCUUCAUGCCUCCACCUUCUGUCUUCAGCAGGAGAGAUGAGGUUAGAGAUUCACUCGACAUGGGUUUUGGGGCUCUGGACUCAGUUCUUUACCCUUGCAAGCUCCCCAGCCCAUCCCCUCUUCCUGCAGGCAGUAUGGAGACGUAGCUCAGGUUGGUCUGGAACUUG
rnacentral:lncRNA from 1 species